rnacentral:piRNA from 1 species
UCCACUGUGUGGUUUGCCUUAAG